GAUGAACGCUGGCGGCGUGCCUAAUACAUGCAAGUCGAACGAACUUCCGUUAAUUGAUUAUGACGUACUUGUACUGAUUGAGAUUUUAACACGAAGUGAGUGGCGAACGGGUGAGUAACACGUGGGUAACCUGCCCAGAAGUAGGGGAUAACACCUGGAAACAGAUGCUAAUACCGUAUAACAGAGAAAACCGCAUGGUUUUCUUUUAAAAGAUGGCUCUGCUAUCACUUCUGGAUGGACCCGCGGCGUAUUAGCUAGUUGGUGAGGUAAAGGCUCACCAAGGCAGUGAUACGUAGCCGACCUGAGAGGGUAAUCGGCCACAUUGGGACUGAGACACGGCCCAGACUCCUACGGGAGGCAGCAGUAGGGAAUCUUCCACAAUGGACGCAAGUCUGAUGGAGCAACGCCGCGUGAGUGAAGAAGGGUUUCGGCUCGUAAAGCUCUGUUGUUAAAGAAGAACGUGGGUAAGAGUAACUGUUUACCCAGUGACGGUAUUUAACCAGAAAGCCACGGCUAACUACGUGCCAGCAGCCGCGGUAAUACGUAGGUGGCAAGCGUUAUCCGGAUUUAUUGGGCGUAAAGCGAGCGCAGGCGGUCUUUUAAGUCUAAUGUGAAAGCCUUCGGCUCAACCGAAGAAGUGCAUUGGAAACUGGGAGACUUGAGUGCAGAAGAGGACAGUGGAACUCCAUGUGUAGCGGUGAAAUGCGUAGAUAUAUGGAAGAACACCAGUGGCGAAGGCGGCUGUCUGGUCUGCAACUGACGCUGAGGCUCGAAAGCAUGGGUAGCGAACAGGAUUAGAUACCCUGGUAGUCCAUGCCGUAAACGAUGAUUACUAAGUGUUGGAGGGUUUCCGCCCUUCAGUGCUGCAGCUAACGCAUUAAGUAAUCCGCCUGGGGAGUACGACCGCAAGGUUGAAACUCAAAAGAAUUGACGGGGGCCCGCACAAGCGGUGGAGCAUGUGGUUUAAUCCGAAGCUACGCGAAGAACCUUACCAGGUCUUGACAUCUUCUGACAGUCUAAGAGAUUAGAGGUUCCCUUCGGGGACAGAAUGACAGGUGGUGCAUGGUUGUCGUCAGCUCGUGUCGUGAGAUGUUGGGUUAAGUCCCGCAACGAGCGCAACCCUUAUUACUAGUUGCCAGCAUUAAGUUGGGCACUCUAGUGAGACUGCCGGUGACAAACCGGAGGAAGGUGGGGACGACGUCAAAUCAUCAUGCCCCUUAUGACCUGGGCUACACACGUGCUACAAUGGAUGGUACAACGAGUCGCGAGACCGCGAGGUUAAGCUAAUCUCUUAAAACCAUUCUCAGUUCGGACUGUAGGCUGCAACUCGCCUACACGAAGUCGGAAUCGCUAGUAAUCGCGGAUCAGCAUGCCGCGGUGAAUACGUUCCCGGGCCU
rnacentral:rRNA from 1 species